rnacentral:rRNA from 1 species
UACGGAGGAUGCGAGCGUUAUCCGGAUUUAUUGGGUUUAAAGGGUGCGCGGGCGGAGGCACAAGUCAGCGGUAAAAUCGCGGGGCUCAACCCCGCUCCGCCGUUGAAACUGUGUCCCUUGAGUGCGCGAAGGGUAGGCGGAAUGCGUGGUGUAGCGGUGAAAUGCAUAGAUAUCACGCAGAACUCCGAUCGCGAAGGCAGCCUACCGGCGCGCGACUGACGCUCAUGCACGAAAGCGUGGGUAUCGAACAGG